UACGAAGGGGGCUAGCGUUGCUCGGAAUUACUGGGCGUAAAGGGCUCGUAGGCGGCCAACUAAGUCAGACGUGAAAUCCCUCGGCUUAACCGGGGAACUGCGUCUGAUACUGGAUGGCUUGAGAUUGGGAGAGGGAUGCGGAAUUCCAGGUGUAGCGGUGAAAUGCGUAGAGAUGUGGAGGAACACCAAUGGCGAAGGCAGCUCUCUGGGACGGUACUGACGCUGAGGAGCGAAAGCGUGGGGAGCGAACAGG
rnacentral:rRNA from 1 species